rnacentral:tRNA from 1 species
GCGGACGGUGGACAGCCGGGCGGUCACCCGGCGGGCGGUCGGGCCGAGCAGGUAGGGCACGGCGAGGGCGGUCGCGGCGCCCGCCAGCGCC